AACCAUAUAACUUCACAAAAUAUUUGUACAAUCACCAGCCAAAAUAUAACAUCCAAAAUAUUUGUACAAUCACAGUUUACAAAAACAUAAGUUCUAGCUAUUAGUGCUUAAUUCUAAAGAUUGAUUACAAAACAUCACUUCUCCUGCCAUAUCUCUAUUUCACUUCAUGGAAAGCAUCUGUAGGAGCAUCUGUAGCAUAAAACAGAUAGUAUAUAUAUGAAAAACAGCUGCACAUGAAAGCUAAACUAAGAACAUAAAUAGGAGAAACACCAAACUUAUAGCUUGUACUAGCCUAAUUCACAGGAGCAUCAAUUAUUAAACUUUAAACAUACCUAUCCAGCCAAUGCAUUCUUAAUCAGACACCUUGCCCAUUCUUCACGAACCUCGUUCAGUUGGUUUUGAGAAUAAGUAGUAACACCCUUAAACUACGAAUACAAACAAUCACCAAUAUAUUUUAUUAAUAACUACUAAUACUAUGUUAAACAAUAUUAAAGUAUAAUGUAUAUAACAAUACCAGUGAUGACAAGUGAAAAGUUGAGGCUGCCGUAUUUUGAGACCCUUCAAUAAUAUCUCUCAUAAACCUCAUCACAAAGUAGCCACAUUGCUUAUCAUCAGGUUGUGUAGGGCCCUACAAUUAUUACAUUAAUAAAUAGGUAAGGCUGCGUUAUAUGCUCCCCCAGAUAAAGUAACUAAUGCC
rnacentral:lncRNA from 1 species